UACGUAGGGCGCAAGCGUUGUCCGGAAUUAUUGGGCGUAAAGAGCUCGUAGGUGGCUUGUCGCGUCUGCCGUGAAAGCCCAUGGCUUAACUGUGGGUCUGCGGGCGAUACGGGCAGACUGGAGUACUGCAGGGGAGACUGGAAUUCCUGGUGUAGCGGUGGAAUGCGCAGAUAUCAGGAGGAACACCGGUGGCGAAGGCGGGUCUCUGGGCCGAUACUGACGCUGAGGCGCGAAAGCCAGGGGAGCAAACGGG
rnacentral:rRNA from 1 species